rnacentral:rRNA from 1 species
CAAUACUUAGUGGCAGACGGGUGAGUAACAUGUAGGUAUCUUCCCUUUGGUGAGGAAUAACGCGAGGAAACUUGCGCUAAUACCUCAUAAGUCUUUACGGAGAAAGCUUUAUGCGCCGAAGGAUGAGCCUGCAUUUGAUUAGUUUGUUGGUGGGGUAAUGGCCUACCAAGACUUUGAUCAAUAGCUGAUCUGAGAGGAUGAUCAGCCACAUUGGGACUGAGACACGGCCCAAACUCCUACGGGAGGCAGCAGUAGGGAAUAUUGCACAAUGGAGGAAACUCUGAUGCAGCGAUGCCGCGUGAGUGAAGAAGGCCCUUGGGUUGUAAAGCUCUUUCGUCGGGGAAGAAAAUGACUGUACCCGAAUAAGAAGGUCCGGCUAACUUCGUGCCAGCAGCCGCGGUAAUACGAAGGGACCUAGCGUAGUUCGGAAUUACUGGGCUUAAAGAGUUCGUAGGUGGUUAAAAAAGUUGGUGGUGAAAUCCCAGAGCUUAACUCUGGAACUGCCAUCAAAACUUUUUAGCUAGAGUAUGAUAGAGGAAAGCAGAAUUUCUAGUGUAGAGGUGAAAUUCGUAGAUAUUAGAAAGAAUACCAAUUGCGAAGGCAGCUUUCUGGAUCAUUACUGACACUGAGGAACGAAAGCAUGAGUAGC